UACGAAGGGGGCUAGCGUUGCUCGGAAUCACUGGGCGUAAAGCGCACGUAGGCGGAUUGCUAAGUCAGGGGUGAAAUCCUGGAGCUCAACUCCAGAACUGCCCUUGAUACUGGCGGUCUCGAGUCCGGGAGAGGUGAGUGGAACUGCGAGUGUAGAGGUGAAAUUCGUAGAUAUUCGCAAGAACACCAGUGGCGAAGGCGGCUUUCUGGACACUUACUGACGCUGAGACGCGAAAGCGUGGGGAGCAAACAGG
rnacentral:rRNA from 1 species